rnacentral:lncRNA from 1 species
UCAAUAAGCUAUGUCAUGUGUGUUUUCUUAGGUGCUUUGUAACUGGUGGGGCUGGAUGGUGUUGAUGAGCCACCUACAUUUAGAUCAUCAUAUGAUUCUUUAGUUUCUUGCUUAAAUCAUAAAAAAAUAGGUUUGUUAUUUGGCAUAUGUGUAAAUAUAUUUCAUCUUACAACAAGAUCUUAGAUCUCAUAAGAAAAAUACAUCUUUUAUCCUAAUUUUCUUUUUUUCUAUUAUUUUGUGAUAUGUGUGAAUGUUUACUUUAAGGUCUAUUAUUAUUGUUUGAAAUUUAGUAUUUUUUGUUAAAGGUUAUUAACUCUUAUUGUCGAUAUUUUUGUUUUUUUUUUAAGUUGGGUUUGAUCUAAACUGUUAAAUCUUACUAUUGAUUGUGAUGGAUAUAAUCAGUAUAGUUAUUGAACUAAUAAAAGUGUUUAUUUUAUGGCACCUUUUUAGUUUCUCUUAUUAUUUAUGAAGAAUUUGAAAUAUAUUUAUAUCGAAAGUUACAAGAACUCAAAACAUAGCGGGAGGCAAAUAAAAAGUGAAACGAUGGUAAAGCAUUAUUCUAGAAACUGUCGUUGU